rnacentral:rRNA from 1 species
ACGAACGCUGGCGGCGCGCUUAACACAUGCAAGUCGAACGGAAAGGCCCUGCUUUUGUGGGGUGCUCGAGUGGCGAACGGGUGAGUAACACGUGAGUAACCUGCCCUUGACUUUGGGAUAACUUCAGGAAACUGGGGCUAAUACCGGAUAGGAGCUCCUGCUGCAUGGUGGGGGUUGGAAAGUUUCGGCGGUUGGGGAUGGACUCGCGGCUUAUCAGCUUGUUGGUGGGGUAGUGGCUUACCAAGGCUUUGACGGGUAGCCGGCCUGAGAGGGUGACCGGCCACAUUGGGACUGAGAUACGGCCCAGACUCCUACGGGAGGCAGCAGUGGGGAAUAUUGCACAAUGGGCGGAAGCCUGAUGCAGCAACGCCGCGUGCGGGAUGACGGCCUUCGGGUUGUAAACCGCUUUCGCCUGUGACGAAGCGUGAGUGACGGUAAUGGGUAAAGAAGCACCGGCUAACUACGUG